ensembl:lncRNA
AGGUGUGAAAUGAACAGAAUCAUAAAGUCAGGCUGGUUUGGAGAAUAAAAACAGCAGCACAGCCUGCGCUGAUGGGAUAAGAGCAUACCGAGAGUGGAAAAGUGCUGGGAGCUAUUGGCAAUUCAACACAGGAUUGGAUUGUUCAGAAUGAGGAGGAAGCUACAAACAAAUUAUUCAGACACUGUUACAAACAGCAGCAAUCACAGUAUACGGCCACCUGUAAGAAAGCCGUGGGCUGGAAGCUUGCAUAAAUUGUCUGGUACGGCAGACCAAGUACAGAAUGCAGAUCUCUGAUGUGGAGACAGUAGGUGAAGGCAGUAAGCGAGAAAGAAAAUCAUGUGACCUGACUUGUGUUUGCAGCCAUUUUAGACACGAUGGCAGACAACUCAUCGUGGCCCAAUUUGUUGAGCUGCUUUCCACUGCUGUAACUUCUUGAAGUAGUUUCCUCCGUUUUGAAAGAGGAGGCUCCUGGGUAGUGAGCUGAAGUGGCGGACCACCAGCUUCAGAGGAAGACACAUGAAAGAGGCAAGGACUUCACGUAUAGCCUGGCACCUUGUUAGGCUGCUCCAAAAGAACUGUCUGUAAUGCAGAAAUGAAGUGAUUUACCCAGCAGAAAAUAAGCGUUGCUGCUGUAUUGUUUUUGGCAGGAGUUGGUGGUUCAUCAUUUGGACACAUCAGCCCAUGCAUUGUCUCCCCAGAAGUAUACCUGCAACCACCUAAGAGCCCAAGCCUGUAAGAUCUGAAACCUUUUGCACAGUAUGUGGUUGGCUGAGGGACCAGAGAAGCCAGCUGUGCAGCUCAGUUCCUCUCUCUUCACAAGCAGAGUUUCCUAGUUGAGGUGCUUUCCUCCUCCUCUAUCUUCAGCUGCUCCAAAGGAUGCCUGGAACAAAACGGCCUUCAAAUGCUUCUCUCUGCUAACACUAGCAAGGGUGUUCUGCCAAUUCCUACCUCAGCUCCCCUUGAUCUGGGUCCUGGAAACUCAGCGAGUGCUGUGUCCUGAAGCUAGGAGCCACGGAGACAGGCAUUCUGACUGCACACUGCCUCUGUGCCUAGAUGAGCUGUCAUUGGGCACGAGAAGGAGAAAAGAGACUGCAAAAAACAAGAGGGAUAAAACGACAUCAUCCGGAGGGAAAAGACCAGAUAAUUACCCACAUUUCCCAGCAUGAGGGUGGAAUAACCAGGUGGACCAAACUGUCAAAACAAUUAUCUACUGAACUGCAAUGACGAUGAUGAGAGAGAACUCCUUUGCUAACAACUGCCAAGAUGCAGAGCAUGCUCAGACUACACUCAAAGCCCUAUGUCAUGGAGAUCCUUGCUGUGGGUGCCAGGUUGUUAACAUAGAUUGCAGCCAAAGAAUUUUAUUGUGGAAGGUGUGUGUGGGUCAGUGCCUCUCCUGUACAAAGGACGCCACAUCUGGACCCAGUACUCCAGGUGAGGCCUUGCCAGCGCAGAGUAGAGGACAGGACCAUCUCCCUGGCCCUGCUCACCAUGCUUCUUUCGAAUGGCAUCCCGUCCCUCAAGUGUGUCAGCUGCAUUUUCAUGGAGGAUGUUUAGAGAGAAGAGAUUAUUUCAUCUGCGGGUGUCAUCUACGUAUGAAUGGAGCAUUUUUCUGCUGGUGAUGUUUUCAUAUUUCAAAUUCUGCCCUCUCACCUUUGGAGAACAAGAGAGUCCAUCCACAGAGAACAAAAUCCUGGAGGUGUUCUGCAGAGCAGGUAGGCACCUCAGAUUUCUCUUUCCAGCAACCUCCUUUGGAGGCCAUCAGUGGCCGGAGCUGCUCUGCUGUCACAUUUAAAGGGAGAUGCAUCCAGGCUGGACAGACUGGCUGGACUCUGAUGGAAACCAUUUCAAGUAAGCUGGUUAUUUUUAUUGCUUUUUCCCUAUUUCACUGAAUCGUGUAACCUGAUAAAUACAUGCACAGCAGAAUUAAUUAAUGUCACGUUGCUUGGAAUGCAUUUCAAAGUUACGGACAACACCAAGAAAUGAUCAGGAAAAAGCAUCCAAAGCUGGAUGUUAAUGAAAAAAUAAAUCAGUAACUUCGGGACACAGAGCUGGCUGGAUAAAACAAGCUGUUUGUACAUAGCUUAGUACAAACAAGCUGAUAAGAGGCCUACAGAGAGAGAGACAGAAUGCAUUGUUUCCCCUGUAUGCAACUCCGCAUAUAUUUUUUCAUUGGCAACUACACAUCUUCUUUAAGACUAUUAGUUCAUUUCCUUUUAUAAUUAAAUUAAUCUUAUUUUCUGUAAUUACCGCUUAAAAGGCAGCCAGUUCCCCACUUUAAGGAUACAGCUGUAACUUUCGUUUUCUCUGCUGUCAUCAUUGCAGCAUGUGUUUUCAUAAACACACACUGAGGUUUUUCCCAUAAUCAAUAAUAUUUUAAUCAGUAUUGAACCCCAAAUCACCUUAUAAUACAAGAGACACAUCAGUCAAAACAUAUUUGGACAGAGGAAUGUCAAAUAUAGCAAAAAAAAGUUUCUCCCUGCAGCUACUGCCCCCUCCAACUACUACACAUGUAUGCAGCAAGUAUGCACAGCAGUAUGUUAUUAUGCAAACAUUAGAGAUACUUACUGACUUAAAGAGGCAUUGAUUUAAUGACUUCUGUAAGAGGAUUAAAGUGUAAAUUCUUUUCCACUUAGGGACAAUUUUUUAAUGGUAACAUACUGGGAUUAGAUUUCAUUAAGUAGUAGACAGGCUUCAAAGAUUACACUAUGACUUACCCUUUAAGGAACGUUUUUGAUUUCAUCAUACAUGCAUUCAGAAGAGCUGUUAAUAUGUAUGGCACUGUAAGCUGUGUUUUAUUUUGAUGCUACUGUGUGUUAUGUUAAACAUAAUCCAUUGUCCAGAUAUUUGAACUGUAAGCACUGAAGUGCAAGCAUUACCAUUUUGCUGUAUAUAUGUUUGCAUGGGUUUCAGCCCCAGCAAGAGGAUGGUUUUCGACUGGAUACAAACGCCAUGCAUAUUACAAGUAAGUUAUCCACCAGAGAUUUAAGGACUCUUUCUUUGCCAUUUAACACAUAAACUGACUGUUUGCAUAUGUAAAUAUUAUCACAUAAAGCAAACUUGCUUCUUACUGCUAAUAACUGGCAGUCGCUUCCUGCAUGAGAUUUUUUUGUUAGUUACCAUCUUCUAAAUUGGCGUGUAUGUGGUAUUACAGCACUGGUGAACACGGCUCACUCACACUGAAACAACUGCCCCUUGAGAAUUAGGCAAGUACUCAACAUGUGUCACACAGCACUCCAUCUUAAGAGUAUUUAAGUUGCUUCCCAACUAGCAUUUGUCUUAGUAUUUUUAAGGAAAUCUGCCUGGAAUAGCAAUGAGACAAUAAUAUAUAGACUGCAAGUCAAAAACAAAAAAAAAAGUGCAACUUUCUGUUCCUGCAUUACUGAUUUAGACACUCUCAUAAGCUCUACUGAUCUGGAAACAGUUCAUAAACACAAAUAUUGGUAUCAACAGCUCUGCGUUUUCAGUAUUUUCUAAGAUUGAAAUACAGUCUGCAAUAUUAAAAUACCAAUUUGAACUGCCCAACUACCAUUUAAAAUCCAGGUCAGAUUUUCUCAGUUAUAUACACAUCUUAAUUUACUCUGGGUUUUUGUCAGAAGCUGAGUGACAGAACUUAUAAUGCAGUUAUAUUAAACGGUCACCUUCAAAAGUAGAGGUUUUUUUCUACCACAUUUUUUGUAAAAUAGUUAUUCUGAAAGCUUGUGGUUUAAAAAUGCAACAUAUAGGAGAAAAAUUGAGAUAAUUUUAAUGCCUAGUUUAAAGGUUUUAUGACACAGCAGUGCUAACAUAGAUUUUAUGAUAUUUAUUUCAUACAGUUAGAAAAAAAUAAGAUGUAAGAGACAGCUGAAAUUUUUGUCCUUUAUACACGAGGGAUCCUAUAAAAUUGCCACCAUCUACUACUAGGGACAGUUAUAUCAAUCCAAAACUGUUAGAUUAAAAUAAAUAGCAAUUCCAAUCCAGAAUAGAAAACCAACCAAAAAGCACAACAUGUGGCCAUCCUGUAGAUUAUCGGAAUUAGUCCAUUCAAAUCACAGAUUUUUAAAAAGUUGCUCCCUCAAAUUUAACAUGGAAAAAGAUCCAGAAAUAAUUAUUAAGCGUGUAGGGUAACACAGGUAGGUUAAGGGGAUGAUCUGAGCCCAGUUCAUUUCAACUGAGAAUGCAUUUGAGCUGUGGAAAUUGGACUUGAGUACCAGGUGUGUUAAGAGUUAGUGGCAGCUGUUAUCUGACUUGUGUGCAUACAAUUAUUAGCAUGGGGGACAAAAAUCUGAAAUACAGAAAUUACCUAAACAGUGGAAUAUCAGAGCAAACUCUACUGAACACAGCAAAAAAACUAAGCGAUGCAUUGCACCAAUCCUCAAUGAGAGGAUCUCUCUCCUUGAGAACUAACGUUCAGCAUUGCCGUUCACAUCAAGUUUUACAUCUCAAUCUCUUCUGCCUUGUUGGGAUCAGCCACAUCAUUUUGGCACUCUGAAUACAUACAAAUAAAAAAUCAAUUGUUUGGACUGCUUUUACUUUGUAGAGCAUCUGCUAUUUUUCUGUAUAUUUGUAUAUUAGGAUCAAGUUGGUCCUAAUGAGUAAGAGGGUUUCUAGCCUGUCCCUGCAAUGUUAAAUAUAAAUAAGCAGCCAUUCCAAACGUUACAAAACAGAACAUCUUUCUCUAUUCCGUGUAAUAGAACCAAUUUGCUGCAGUAGUGUCAUUAAACGCCAAAUGCAGCUAGCAUGAAAAAUUGGAGCAGCUUGGCCAUUUUUCUCUGGUCCUGUCAUCUGAACAUGACUGCCUGCAACAAGGAGUACCAUCAUCCAUAUGCCUUCUGUCAGCCUCCAUGACAAAUGCAACACAGUCUUUGUGCUUCCAGCAAAUAUAUAGAGAAAAAGAUAGACAAAGCCUCAGUUGGUUCUGAUUUUUGGAGAGAAGGCAUUACAUAGACAAAGUAAAAAUGUAUCAUCUGCACAAUGAUCAGCAUAUUCAAUCAUUCCAGCUGGGAGCUAUUUUUCAGGAAAAGGUAAGAAUUUUGUUUCAAUUCUACACAUUUUGAAGCCAAGUAAAAAGUAUUUUUGACUGAUUGGGGCUCAGUGAUCCUGUGACCUCCACCACACACAGCGUGACCACUCAAUCCAGGCACACACAUGCUCUCAGACCCAUGGAUUCAUAGAUCAUAUACUCAGCUUCCCCCCUGGCAAAGAAAAUGAACUGAAGACCACAUACAAUAAACUAGCAUCUGUGCACAAAAAAAACCACACAGAACAAGAUGAUCGUGGAUGCAUAGAUCAUGGAUUCAGCUACCUACAUUGCAAUGACAGUAAAUCAAAAACCACAGCCUAUGAACUAAGAUCAGUGCAAAAAAAGGAAAAAAAAAACAAGAAAAACAAAAAACUCAAGAUGAUCAUGGAUUCAUAGAUAGUGGAUUCACCUACCUACAUUACAAUAACCCAAAGACCACAACCAAUACACUACGAUCUGUGCUAAAAAAAACCCAAGAUGCUCAUGGAUGAUUAUGAUUCAUAGAUCAUAAAUUCAGCGAUCUACAUUGCAAUGACACUAAAUCAAAGAACACAACCAAAACACUAAAAUCUCUGCAAGAAAACCAAGAUGAUCUAGGAACUAUAGAUAAAAAAUUCACCUUUCUACAUUGCAGUGACAAUAAACCAAAGAUCACAACUAAUAAACUAAGAUCUCUGGAAAAAAAAAAAAAAAAAAAAAAAGAUUAUCAUGGAUUCAACUAUCUAUAUUGCAAUGAUAAUAAAGCAAAGUCCAUAUCUAAUAAAUUAUAACCUGUGCAAGAAAAAUGAAGAUGAUCAUGGAUCCAUAGAUUCAGCAUCAUACAUUACAAUGACACUAAGUCAAAGACCAUGACCAAUAAACUAAGAUCUGUGCUAAAAAGAAUAACAAGAUGAUCAUAAAUUCAUAGAUCAUAGAUUCAGCUGCAUACGUACCAAUAAUAAUAACCUGAAGACCACAGCUAAGAAACUAACAUCUGUGAUAAAAAUAACCCUAGGUGAUCACGGAUCCAUAGAUUCAACUUUCUACAUUGCAGUGACAAUAAACCAAAGACCACAAACAGUAUACUAACAUCUCCACAACAAAACCCGAGAUGAGCAUGGAUUCAUAGAUUAUGGAUUCAGCUUCCUUCACUACAGUGACAUUAAAUCAAAAACCACAACCAAUUAUGUAAAAUCUGUGAAAAAACAGACAAAACAAACAAACAAACAAACAAAAGAAAACAAAAUAUCUAGAUGAUCAUGGAUCCAUAGAUUCAACCUCCAAAUUGCAUUGACAAUAAACCAAAGAUCACAACUAAUAAACUAAGAUCUCUGCAAAGAAAAUAACAAGAUGAUCAUAGAUCAUGGAUUCAGCUACCUACAUUGCAAUGAUAAUAAACCAAAGAUCAUAUCCAGUAAAUUAUGAUAUGUGCAAAAAAACCCAAGAUGAUUAUGGAUCCAUAGAUCGUAGACUCAGCUUCCUACAUUGCAAUGACAAUAAUCGAAAGACCACAACUAACUAAGAUCUCUGCUAAAAAAAACCCAAGAUGAUCAUGGAUCCACAGAUCAUAGAUUCAACUCCUACAUUACAAUGAUAAUAAACCAAAGACCACAACCAAUAAACUAAGAUCAGUGCUAAAAACAUAACAAGAUGAUCAUAAAUUCAUAGAUCAUAACUCCAGCUACCUACAUAGCAACAAUAAUAAACCAAAGAAUGCAACAAAUAAACUAAGAUCUGUGCUAAAAAAAAUAACAAGAUGAUCAUGGAUUCAGCUAUCUACAUUGCAAUGACAAUAAACCAAAGACCAGAACUAAUAAACUAAGAUCUCUGCUAAAAAAACCCAAGAUGAUUAUGUAUCCAUAGAUUGUAGACUCAGCAUCCUACAUUACAAUGACAAUAAUCAAAAGACCACAACUAAUAAAGGCCUUUGCUAGAAAAAUAGCACAAUGAUCAUGAAUUCAUAGAUCAUGGAUUCAGCUUCCUACACUGCAGUGACAAUAAACCAAAAGCCACAACCAAAGAACUAAUACAUGUGCAAAAAAAAAAAAAAACAAAAAAAAAAAAACAAGAUGAUCAUGGAUCCAUAGAUCAUAGAUUCAGCUACCUACAUUGCA